UGCUAAGGUAGCAUAAUAAUUUGCCUCUUAAUUAGGGGCUAGCAUGAAAGAUUUGACGAAAGAAAAUCUGUUUCAGCUUAUUAGAAAGAAAUUAACCUAGAAGUUAAAAGGCUUCUAUUGUCUAAAGGGACGACAAGACCCUAUAAAGCUUUAUUUAUUUAUUUAUAUCUAUAUUAAGAAAAUAAUAUAAAUAUAUAAAUUCUAUUGGGGCGAUACAUAAAUAAACAUUAUAAAUUAUAACGUCUUUAACGAAACUUAUUUAACGUUUUUAAAAACCUAUAACAAGUUACUUUAGGGAUAACAGCAUAAUUUCUUUUUCGAGUCCUUAUCUACAAAGAAGAUUAUGACCUCGAUGUUGAAUUGAGUUACUCCUUUUAUGCAGACCUAAAAGGUAGAAGUCUGUUCGACCCUUAAA
rnacentral:rRNA from 1 species